UGGGGAAUAUUGCACAAUGGAGGGAACUCUGAUGCAGCGACGCCGCGUGAGUGAUGAAGGAAUUCGUUUCGUAAAACUCUGUUCUAUGGGAAGAAAAGGACUGUACCAUAGGAGAAAGCUCCGGCUAAAUACGUGCCAGCAGCCGCGGUAAUACGUAUGGAGCGAGCGUUGUCCGGAAUUAUUGGGCGUAAAGGGUGCGCAGGCGGCUUUACAAGUUGGAUGUGAAAUAUUGUGGCUCAACCACAAACGUGCAUCCAAAACUGCAAAGCUUGAGUUAAGGAGAGGUAAGUGGAAUUCCUGGUGUAGCGGUGGAAUGCGUAGAUAUCAGGAGGAAUACCGGUGGCGAAGGCUACUUACUGGACUUAAACUGACGCUCAGGCACGAAAGCGUGGGGAGCAAACAGG
rnacentral:rRNA from 1 species